rnacentral:lncRNA from 1 species
CGCAAAGGCUGACGGGAUGGAAGGAGGCGCGGGGCCGUCACGCGCCCCGAGCGACUGUUUGCCUCGCACCCAAAGGCGGGGGGCGGUGGGGGGAGGGAGGGGCUGGUGAGCUGGAAAGGACGGCGAGGAGGCCCUGGCUCCGGCUGUGACCGGCUGGUACGGCCUCCGCCAUUGGCGUACAGGAGCUGGUAACCAUGGCAGCAGCUGUCGCCAAAGGCAAGAGCCAAUGGGGGCGUUGCCCGGGCCAUUUCAAAAAUGUAAAGCAAACGACAACAAAAAAACGCUACAACGGCGGGGGAUGGGAGGGAUGAAAAGGGGAUGGACCGGCUGGAGCCACUCCCUGCGGCUCAGAACAGGCGUCGCGUCCCUGGCCAGGUUAAACGCACAACACCUCCAGACGGUUGGAGUAGAAAAACCGAACCGCGGAGAGACCCAGCUCGCUGGCGGCCCUUGGGAACUUUGCGGACGCUACACUUGGCUGCCUUCAAAACCUUCUUGCCCUCCAAAGCCUUUGAGGAAACUGUUAGUGAUAAUCACAUGGACCUGGAAGAAACUGCUAGUUUUUCGUCGCGGUUCCUUCGAGAAUGGCUGGAGCCCUUUCGUGACCCACAGAAUUUCCGUCAGUGGCCCAACUGCGGGUCUAUGCCUGAGCUGGGUCUCCACAGCCGCUAGCUGAAGGAAGGUGGUGGUUUUGGGCGGGGGGUUGACUGGGGCGAGAGGUUUCGCGGAGGGUGGUGGGUGGCAGAAUUCCUGGAAGGCACGGGGAGAGGCAGGGCCGCCUGGGCUGUGGCCCCAAGGCAUGGACCUCCUCUGCCCACGUACGUCUAGGGGAGGCACCGGUCCCAGGGUCAAGAGACUUUCGGUUGACUCAGCCAUCACUUGGAGCACGACUGGGGAUCUUCGUCGCCCCGCCUCACCGGAUUUCACCCUUCUCGCCGCCCAUCUGACCCCAUGCCCACCCACUGCGGUCCCGAUUGCGGUCCACAGAGGUGCUCCGGCGUGCGCGCCUCUCGCCAACCGGUAAGGCUGCCACUAGGGUGGUGGCUAUGGUGGCAGCUGGGGCAGCGGCGCAGGUUAUUGCGGCAGUGGCGGCAGCUACCUAGAGAUGUGGGACCUCGGGACCUAAGAAGAGGAAGGCAGACACGCUCUGCCCAUCUGUCCCGCGUCUCCCAGCCGUCCUCCUCUCCCCUCCCCGACUCCAGGAGCCCAACUCCGGGAAGUUGAAGCCGGGCUACCAACUGCUCAUGCGCGGGCUAGAGCGCCUCUGGCCUAACAAAGGCCACCGUAGUUGCUAAGCAACGUGGCCGCAGAGUUCUGAGGGAGCCGGAGCGCCUUCUGGUGGUGCAGAGGAGCAGGCACAGGCUGUUUCUGCUGCCUUAGAGAGGAGCUGUGGCCUAUGUUUUCCAGGGGAUCCUGCAGAAGGGAGGGAGGGAAGGAAGAAAGCGUGGUGUGAAGCAAGCCAUCUUCAGUCUGUGUCAAAAUGACCUUGCAACCCCACAUUGCAUGACCGAAGACGCUAGCCGGACAGGUCCUCAAUAGGAAAAGGUAAAGCAGUACCUCGCUUUCACAUUUCACAGUUGCGUUUAUUAGAGAUUAGGGGCAUAAUUUAACGAUGUGCCACGGUCCUUGCCUCCCUCCGCACAUGGAUAACAUCAGGGUCUCUGAACUUGUUUGAUAUAUAACCAAGAAAUUCUUGCUUCUGUUACAUUCAAUGUACAUAAUCUAGAGAAGAGCCCAGCUGUACUCUAUCCCUUUUUUUUAUAACCUACUUGUAAGUUUUUCUUUUUUCCUCUUCCCUUCAUGUCCAGUGUUUUGUGAAACAGAUAGAAAGUAGACUUAAAUUCACACACCUCAGAGCGGUUCCAUCAGAGCAGUCUGUUGAACUGUUUUCCAGGGGGUCAAACACCUCACGCUAAUCGUGGAAUAAGCUCCUUCACUAAUAUAACUUAGACUGUUCAUUUCAGUCGACAAAAGUAAAAAGGAAGGAAAGGAAGGUGGAUAGACGAAUGGGUGGUUAAAGGUCCCAAGAGUGGAGGAUGGCCUGGCAGGGGCCUGGCUGACUCAGCAGGAUCAGGAGACUAUCGGCGGUCAGACUUCCUCAAGUUGGCCUUGACGGUGUGCCUGGGACUGUCCGAAGAGGGGUCUGUCCAGUGGCCCCAAGAAGUGACUGCCUGUGUCCUUCUGGGUGGCUUUGUUCACUCAGGGGCUUCAGCAACUGGAGCCAUAAGCCGAGCCCGUGGAGCUGCCUGUCUGGGUGGGCACUGGGAAUGGGCACCCUGCUGUCUCCAUUCCUCCCGGUCACCUUGUGGCUGUGUUCCUGUGUUUCACUGCGUGGCUGAGUGUGAAUUAUUUUUCCUCCUUGAAGUCUCUCCUGGGCUUUCCUAAGGUGCGUCUGGCUUGGUAAUGGCUUCAGACUAGCAGUUGUAGGACGCCCAUGUCCGUCCAGAGAGGCACCUUUUCAAACAGAACACAAAAGACCUUAUCAGGAAUUGAUUUUACACUUGGAGGAAAAAUGCCAAAAGAAGUCAGAGAACGUGGUGAUAACUCCAACGCCCAAAGUAUCACACCUUCCCCCAAUGCUUCAAUCUUCUCUAACGCUGGUAACAUGAUCCAGAAGAAAGUGGAUUUGGGACGUCGGGACUGACUCCACUACAGAGUUGAUGGCCAACUCGCCCCAGACGCAAUGCCAGUUGAGCUGUCUGUUUUGGCCUACCAGCACUUCAUCUUCUGGCUUCCACUCUUUUCCCUGGGAAGUCCGACGCUGGGGGCUGGGUGCGGUGUUGGCCUCGCGGGGGUGGGAGUUCUUCGGUACCGGGGUUUUUCCUCGGAAACCCCUUACUCUCUCUCUCUGUCCUUUUUUUUUUUUCUUUGGCUUUGUCGACCCUGUCUCCAACCUUCUCAGACUUUGGGUGGGCACUCUGCAUGUUUCCUCUUGGGUCCUGGAUAGGAUAUUCUCCAUCGUGACCCCUCUGGGGGUUCUUCUUGCGGUGCAAAGCCUGGCUGGGGUCAUCGUGGUCAGUCUGGGGAUCUCCAGAGUCUGCCUCAGAAACACUCUCUGCAUCUUGUCUUGCCACCUCCCAAGGCCGCAGGUGUGCGAUGCGAUCUUUCUGUCCCCUGUGCUUGCCUUGGCUCUUCACUCUCUCGCGUGAUCCAGUGCUCCUCCGCUUGGCUGCACUCGUUCGGUCCCCGUGGGUUCACGUUUCCUUCCGCGGCGCCUCUCCUGUUCCUCAACCCUUCUGCUCAGCUCGUGGCUUUUGUUCUGCUUAAGUCACGGACACCCCUCUUUUCCGGUUCCUUGGUUGGCUUGGUUUGGUUUUUCAAUUCAGAAGAGAGACUGACCCUUCCCUAUCAAGACCGAGCACUUCCCUUCCUAGUCUCGCCCCGGCGCCUUUCCCGGACGCUCGUCCCUCCCCCUGCACCCCCUCCAGCAGCCUGUCUCUCGGCAUCAUUCACGUUCAGGGACAACGCGCCGCUUUUCCCUCGGGGAUCCGACGACUUCCGGUGGCCGUGCCCAGAGGUGGGGUGCUGCCCUUGCCGCCUCUUGGAACACGACGGGAGGGGCCCGAGCCCCCGAAAGGCCUGGAGAAGACCCUUCCUGACCAUCACACGAGCCUAGAAGAGACUGCUUCUUCUCCAAAGGGGAUCCUCUGAGGGCGGCUAGAGCCCUUUCAGGGUGAUCCCCACCGUGGAGGGGACAGAGGCCUGACAGGAGAAUGCCCGUCUGUGGCCCAAGCAGCCACCGAGGGUCUGUGCCUGGGCCGGGUCUCCACGGCCAGCUCCUCGACGGCCAUGCCCAGGUACCACCUGAGGGCAGGUGGUGGUUUUCGGGUGGGGUGAAAGGUGGGGAGGGGAGAUGCUUUCGACACCUUCCUGGAAGACCCUGGGAGAGGCAGGGCCCGCUGGGCUGUGGCCCCAAGGCAUGGGCCUCCUCUGCCCACGUCUAGGGGAGGCUCCGCUCCCAGAGUCAGUAGAUUUGCAGUUGAUCCGACCAUCACUUGGAGCGGGACGUGGGGACAUUCAUGGCCCCCGCCUCAGCAGAUUUCAUCUCUCGCACCCCAAUCCCACCCCAUUGCCCCCCACUGCCGUCCAGAUUCGGGUCCACAGAGCGGCCCGUCAUGCCCGGGUCUCACUCUAGUAAGACUGCCACCAGGGUGGCGGUCAUGGUGGCAGUUGGGGCUGAGGGUGUGGCAGCAGGGGCAGCAGUGGAUUUUAUGGUGACAGUGGAGGCAGCCACUCAGAGAUCUGGGAUCUCCGGGACCUUAGGAGGGAAAGGUGGAGGCACCCUGCAAGCCUGCCCUCCUCUCCCUUCCUUCCUCCUCUCCCCACCCCUGUCUACCCACUCAGGGAGCCCAGCCUCCUGCUGCUGAAGCCGGCCAAUCAACUGCGCAUACGCGGGCUCUCUGGAGCCUCGCAACGCCCGCUCCCUUUGCUAAGGAACUUGACCGCGAGGCUCUCAGGGAGCGGGCGCGCCCUCUGGCGGUACCUAGGCGCAAGCACAAGCUGUGACCGGUGAUUUCCUGAGGCGGCUGUGGCCCAUGUUUUCCAGUGGGUCCUUCAGACGCUUGGAUGACAGGAAGGAACAAGGAAGGACGGAGGGAGGUAAGAAGGAGGGAAAGAAGGAAGUUAGGAAGGUAAAAAAGAAGGAAGGGAGGUAGGAAGUUAGGUCAUAAGGGAGAAAAGAAAGAUGAAUAGAAGGAUGAAUGGGUGGUUGGGGCUCCCAAGAGUGGGGCAAAGCCGUUCAGGGGCCUGGCUGAGAAAGCAGCAUCCGGAGCCAGGCGGUGGGAUCCCUUCCUCAAGUCAGCCUGGAGGCUGUGCCUGGAACUGUCUGCCACACCCUCCAAGGGGUCUGCCCUGUGAGCCCAAGAGGGGACUGCCUGUGCGCUUCUGGGUGGCUUUGCUGGCUCAGGGACUUUGGCACCUGGAGCCACAGGCCGAGCCCAGGGAGUCACCAGUCCCCGUGGAGGGACGAGGCUUGCCCUCUGGGCCUGGGCACCCUGCCGUCCCCAUUCCUCACAGUCCCCUCGUGGCUGCGUUGCUGUCUUUCUGCUGUGUGACUGAGUGUGACUUGUUUUUCCUUCCUCCUUGAAGUCUCUCCUGGAUUUUCUUAAGGUGUGCCUGGCUUGACAAUUUCUUCUCACCGGCUGUUGUAGGAAGCCUCUCUCCAUCCUGAGACACACCUUUCCAAACACAAGAUCACGAGAAGACUCGAUCAGGAACUCAUUUGACACUUGGAGGAAAAAUGGCCAAAGAGCUCAGAGAAGGUGCUCAGGCCUCUAACAGGACCACCCUUCCACCCCCCUGCCCCCAGUGCUCAUGAUCAAGAAGAGGAGAGUUGUUUGGGAGAACAGGACCGACUCCACUGCAGACUUUAUGGCCAACUCGCCACUGACUCAUUGCCAGUUGAGCGGUGUAUUUUGGCAUACCAGCACUUCAUCUUCUGGCUUCCACUCUUUUUCCUGGGGAGUCCAACCCCGGGAGCCGGGGGCAUGGUUGGCCAAGGGGGGGGUGGUGUUCUUCGGGACCAGGGUUUUUCCUUGGAAAGCCCUCUUUCUUUGUCUUUUUUUUUCUUUUACUUUGUUGGCCCUGUCUUCAGCUUACUCAGACCUUGGGUGGGUGCUCUACACACUUCCUCUUGAGGUCCUGGAUAGAAUAUUCUUUUCUUUUUUUUUUUUUCAAGAUUUUAUUUUUCCUUUCUCUCCCCAAAGCCCCCGGGUACAUAGUUGUAUAUCUUAGUUGCAGGUCCUUCUAGUUGUGGCAUGUGGGAUGCCGCCUCAGCAUGGCUUGAUGAGUGGUGCCAUGUCCGCGCCCAGGAUCUGAACCAGGAAACCCUGGGCCACCUAAGUGGAGCGGGCGAACUUAACCACUUGGCCAGGGGGCUGUCCCCCAGGAUAGGAUUUUCUUGACCGUGACCCCUCUUGGGGUUCUUCUUGUGGUCCAAAACAUGGCUGGGCUCAUGGUCAGUCUAGGAAUCUCCAAGUAUUGCCUUGGAAACACACUCUCUCCAUCUUGUCUUGCUGCAUCCCAAUGCUACAAGAAUCCGUUGCGAUCUUUCUGUCCUUUGUGCUUGUGUUGGCUCUUCACUCUUUCCCAUGGUCCUGUGCUCCUCGCUUGGCUGCCCACGUUCUAUCCCUGUGGGUUCACUUUUCCUUCAGCGAUGUCUCUCCUGUUCUUCAACCCUUCCGCCCAGACUGUGGCUUCCAUUCUUCUUAAGUCACGGCUCUACCUCUUCUCCAUUUCCUUUAUUCGUUUGGUUUGGUUUUUAAACUCUGUAGAGAGACUCUCUUCUCUUUCUGGACUGAGCAUUUCCCUUCUGUGACUUAAUCACUUGUGUCUUUUGUGGAUGCUGGUAUCUCCCAUGUUCCUUUCCAUGAACCUAUCUUUUGGCACAAUUCACAUCAAGGAAAAUGCACCACUUUUCCCUUUGGGUUCUGAUGCCUUCUGGCUGGCGUCCCCAGAGGUGGGGUGCUGCCAUCACCAGAACUUGGAACACGAUGGGAGGGGCCUGAGCCUGGAAAGCACUUCAGAAAUCUCUUACUGACAAUCACACGGGCCUAGAAGAAACUGCUCCUUCUUCAGCGUGGUUCCAUUGAGAAUGCCUAGAGCCCUUUUAGGAUUAUCCCCACUGUGGAGGUGACAAAGGCCUGACACAGAGAAGUUCCUCAGCGGGCUAAGUGCCCAGCAACAGUCUAUGCCUUGGCUGGGUCUCCAUGUCCAGGUCCUCGACAAUCACGCCCAGCUCUGACAUUUCAGGAGCUUAGAAGCCAUCGCUUCUGUCCUUACAACAAGAGAAAAAACUGAACAAACUGAAAAUGAAUGACUUUUCUUAAACCUAUCAGAGAAUUGAGGUCACAGGGAAAGCCGCCACCCUGAAUUGUGGAGAGAUGGAAAAAUGUGGGUGAUAACAACCAAGAUCAGUUUACUUGGAGCAAAAGCCACUGGAGCCAUAAACUGUUAGGAUCACUUAAAUGAUAAUUUUGAUGAAUUGCUGAAGGAAACCAUGUAAGCAAGAAGACAGUGGAGUGAAAUAUUUAAAGUGUUGGGGGAAAAGACUAGAAUUCUACAUCCAGUGAAAUCACCCCUCAAAAUGAAGGAGAAAUAAAACCUUUCUCAGAGAAACAAAAAUGGAAAGAAUUUGUUGCCAGGAGGUCUGUCUUGCGAGAAAUGUUAAGAGAAGUUCUUUUGAGAGAAGGAAAAUGGUAUAGGUCAGAAGCGAAAGGAAGGAAGAUUGUCAGAGCAGGAAUAAAUGAAGCAGAGACCAACCUUGAGUCCCCGAUAUGGCACCAUUCCCUGUGAGGACCAGCCGGCCAUGUGGCAGAAGGUCGAUUACAUUGGACCUUUUCCAUCAUGGAUGGGACAGAGAUUCAUCCUCACAAGUACAGACACAUAUUAUCUUAGGUUUUCUUUCCCUGCCUGUGAUGUUUCUGCCAGCAUCACCAACCACGGACUCACAGAAUGCUUUAUCCACCAUCUUGGCAUCCCACACAGCCUUUUGUCUGAACAAAAAACUCAUUUCACAGCAAAGGAAGUACGGCAAUGCAUGCACGCCCAUGGAAUUAACUUUCUUACCCCAUGUUUUGCUACCUGGAAUCAGCUGGCCCCACUGAAAGGUGGAAUGACUCACUGAAAAUUCAGUUACAGUGCCGGUUGGAGAUAUCACCCUGAAAGGCUGGAAUUCUGUCUUACAGGAUGCAGAAUAUAUUUGAAUCAGAGACCAUUAUGGCCUCUCCCACACCCUAAUACAUGCUCCAGGAAUGAAGGGGUGAAGUGGGAGUGGCUUCUCUCACUAUAACACCUAAUAGCAGACUCACAGAAUUUGAGCUUUGCUGCUAUGGACAUAUUAGUCCCCAAGGGGGCAAUGUUUCCACUGGGGGACAUACCGGUGGCAAUGGUCGUACUGAAUUGGAAGAUGAGACUUCUUUCUUGAACAUUUUGGGCUCCUUGUAACACUGACCUAAGAGGAAAAAAAAGUUAAGCUACUGGAUGGACUGAUUGAUCCUAAUUACCAAGGAGGAUCAGGUUACUGCUAUACAAUUGAGGUAGGAGGGCUAUGUCUGAAACCCAGGAGAUUCUCUGGCAUUCCUCUUAGUACUUCUCUGCCCAAUAGUAAAGGUUAAUGGGAAAAUGACAGCAAUAAAAAGAAAAACAUGAUCGAGGACUCAGAAUCUUCAGGAAUGAGUGUUUGGGUUACUCUACCAGGUAGAGAACCUAGAGCAUCUGAGGCUGUCACUGAAGGCAAUGGAAAUACAGAAAGGGUCGUUGAAGAUGCAAAUCACAAACAUCAACUAUGGCCUCAUAUCCAAUUACAGACAUGAGGACUGUAGUAGCUUUGCAUAUUUUCUCUUUGCUGGUUAUAUGUAUUUAUUUGUUUAUUCUAACAUCCUUUUUCUUCUCUUUCCUCAUUUUUAUUUUAUAUGCAAGUUGUUGGAGGUUAACUUUACAAUUUACUCUUUAGGCAACAGAAUAUUCUGUAGGAUUGUAACCGAAUUUGAGAAGUAAUUAAUGUAGCCAUAAAUAAAUUAAUUAAUAACUAAUAUAGCCAACUGUUGGGACUGUGCAUUUUCACAUUUGGAUAGCUGGUACCUUGCUAGGUAGAAAUGCAGAGUUGUUUUGUUGCUGUACGGGAGCUCAAAAGUGUGUAGAAAAGUAUGCAGAAACUGAGUAGCCAAAGCAGUUGACAAUGUGCGGUUAUCAAUUUAUUGCCUCUCAGCUCCAAAUUUACUCUUCAAUACCUGCUCUGUGAAAAUGGACUGGAUUCUUCAAGCCUUUCCUCUUUACAGUGAGUAUGAUGUGAAACGUUGUCAGUAGAGGGCGCUGGAGGAGGAAGGGGCUUCUCUUCCUGGUUCUGGCUGCUGCAUUUUGCUUUUUCUUGCUCUUGCUUUGUGGUCCAUGGGGUGUGUGUAUGUGAAAACAUUCAAUGAUGCUCAGCACCAGCUGUGCUCCAGAGCAUGCAGUCUCUCGGAGAUCUUGCCAAUCUGGCCUGGGCUCAGUGACCACCUUGCUGAGGCCCUCCUGAUGAGACACUCACACACAUAGUGGAAUCGCAACUCUCUCUGUAUACCUGCCCAUCAGCUUUGGCUUGCAUGUGCCAUGGAAGGCUAUUUCCUGCAGCCCUUCUGAUGUGGAUACCCUGCAUCUCACCCUCGUGCCUGCGGUGCCACUCCCACACUGAGUACUUGGCAACCCAGCAAACUUCUCUGCCAUCCAGUGGGAUGUAACUACAUCUCUACUGAGGUCUGAAACCCAGCCUCUGGGAGGGACCCUCCUUCCAACUUUGUCCUUCUUUAGGUACUCUCCCUCAGCCCGUGUCUGGUAUUUUCACCGUAAGCAUCUUUGCCAUAGACAUCUUUCCUGCAUGUGUUUUCACUGCAGACAUUUUCACUGCAUAACUAAUUGGCCAUAAGGCAAUUUUGUUAUCAAAGAUGAAAUAAUGAAUAAUAAAAGAGGGAUAUUAAAAAGGAUAUAAUAAAACAUGAAAAAUGAAUAAUAAAAUUAAAAAGACAUUGCAAAAUACAAAAUAUUUGAAUACAUUUAAAAUAUGUGUAGAUUCAUGGCAAUAAUGAGCAAAUAACUGAUUUUAUUUUGUGGGUUGUACCUAAGCACUUGUCUGCAAAGUCUUUCAUUCACAAUAUAUAUAUUUUUUUGCUUGUUGAUUCAUUUCCUCAUUUGGCAUCCAUCACACUUUUUCUUUUUUGCUAAAACUUCUUCCUUCAUUAAGAGAGAUAUCAGUUUCCAAAUACUAGGAUGCAUA